GUUAGUUGGUGAGGUAACGGCUCACCAAGACUGCGAUGGGUAGCCGGCCUGAGAGGGUGAACGGCCACACUGGAACUGAGACACGGUCCAGACUCCUACGGGAGGCAGCAGUGGGGAAUAUUGCACAAUGGAGGAAACUCUGAUGCAGCGACGCCGCGUGAACGAUGAAGGCUUUCGGGUCGUAAAGUUCUGUCCUAGGGGACGAUAAUGACGGUACCCUAGGAGGAAGCCCCGGCUAACUACGUGCCAGCAGCCGCGGUAAUACGUAGGGGGCGAGCGUUGUCCGGAUUUAUUGGGCGUAAAGGGUUCGCAGGCGGUCUCUUAAGUUAGAUGUGAAAGAUCACGGCUCAACCGUGGUAAGCAUUUAAAACUGGGAGACUUGAGUUAAGGAGAGGAAAGUGGAAUUCCUAGUGUAGCGGUGAAAUGCGUAGAUAUUAGGAGGAAUACCAGUGGCGAAGGCGACUUUCUGGACUUAUACUGACGCUGAGGAACGAAAGCGUGGGGAGCAAACAGGAUUAGAUACCCUGGUAGUCCACGCCGUAAACGAUGAGUGCUAGGUGUCGGGUGUCAAAGCUCGGUGCCGCAGCUAACGCAUUA
rnacentral:rRNA from 1 species